rnacentral:rRNA from 1 species
AGUAACACGUGAGCAACCUGCCUUUCAGAGGGGGAUAACAGUUGGAAACGACUGCUAAUACCGCAUAACGCUGCGAUGGGGCAUCCCGAUGCAGCCAAAGGAGCAAUCCGCUGGAAGAUGGGCUCGCGGCCGAUUAGCUAGUUGGUGGGGCAACGGCCCACCAAGGCGACGAUCGGUAGCCGGACUGAGAGGUUGAUCGGCCACAUUGGGACUGAGACACGGCCCAGACUCCUACGGAAGGCAGCAG